rnacentral:snRNA from 1 species
GGAUGUGAGGGCGAUCUGGCUGUGACAUCUGUCACCCUAUUGAUCACCAGGGUUGAUUCUGCUCAACUGGCUGGCUAGGUGGGUGUCCCCUCCCUCGGUCACCGCUCCGUGUACCUGCUUCCUGAAGCUGCGCUCGGUCGAAGAGGACGGCCUUCCCCGAAUAGAGAUGGACCGGUCUUUGGUUGAGGGUAUACGAGUAGGCGCUCCCCUGCGAGAACCCCCAAACAGGCUCUCGAGAUCCAAAUGAGCUAUUUUGCCAUCCCUAAAAUAAAUUUUAUAGAGACCAGGUGGGUAGGUCAUCU